rnacentral:rRNA from 1 species
UACGGAGGGAGCUAGCGUUGUUCGGAAUUACUGGGCGUAAAGCGCACGUAGGCGGCUUUGUAAGUUAGAGGUGAAAGCCCGGGGCUCAACCCCGGAAUUGCCUUUAAGACUGCAUCGCUUGAAUCCGGGAGAGGUGAGUGGAAUUCCGAGUGUAGAGGUGAAAUUCGUAGAUAUUCGGAAGAACACCAGUGGCGAAGGCGACUCACUGGCCCGAUACUGACGCUGAGGCGCGAAAGCGUGGGGAGCAAACAGG